rnacentral:rRNA from 1 species
CUACGGGGGGCUGCAGUGAGGAAUAUUGCACAAUGGGGGGAACCCUGAUGCAGCAACGCCGCGUGGAGGAUGACGCAUUUCGGUGUGUAAACUCCUUUUAUAUGUCAAGAAAAUGACGGUAGCAUAUGAAUAAGCACCGGCUAACUCCGUGCCAGCAGCCGCGGUAAUACGGAGGGUGCAAGCGUUACUCGGAAUCACUGGGCGUAAAGGACGUGUAGGCGGGUUGGGAAGUCAGGUGUGAAAUCCUACAGCUUAACUGUAGAACUGCACUUGAAACUUCUAAUCUAGAGUAUGGGAGGGGGAGAUGGAAUUAGUGGUGUAGGGGUAAAAUCCGUAGAUAUCACUAGGAAUACCUAAAGCGAAGGCGAUCUCCUGGAACAUUACUGACGCUAAGGCGUGAAAGCGUGGGGAGCAAACAGGAUUAGAUACCCCUGUAGUC